GGCGACGAUCUGUAGCGGGUCUGAGAGGAUGAUCCGCCACACUGGGACUGAGACACGGCCCAGACUCCUACGGGAGGCAGCAGUGGGGAAUAUUGGACAAUGGGGGGAACCCUGAUCCAGCCAUGCCGCGUGUGUGAAGAAGGCCUUUUGGUUGUAAAGCACUUUAAGCGAGGAGGAGGCUACCGAGAUUAAUACUCUUGGAUAGUGGACGUUACUCGCAGAAUAAGCACCGGCUAACUCUGUGCCAGCAGCCGCGGUAAUACAGAGGGUGCAAGCGUUAAUCGGAUUUACUGGGCGUAAAGCGCGCGUAGGUGGCCAAUUAAGUCAAAUGUGAAAUCCCCGAGCUUAACUUGGGAAUUGCAUUCGAUACUGGUUGGCUAGAGUAUGGGAGAGGAUGGUAGAAUUCCAGGUGUAGCGGUGAAAUGCGUAGAGAUCUGGAGGAAUACCGAUGGCGAAGGCAGCCAUCUGGCCUAAUACUGACACUGAGGUGCGAAAGCAUGGGGAGCAAACAGGAUUAGAUACCCUGGUAGUCCAUGCCGUAAACGAUGUCUACUAGCCGUUGGGGCCUUUGAGGCUUUAGUGGCGCAGCUAACGCGAUAAGUAGACCGCCUGGGGAGUAC
rnacentral:rRNA from 1 species